rnacentral:rRNA from 1 species
AUGCAGCCAUGCCGCGUGUGUGAAGAAGGCCUUCGGGUUGUAAAGCACUUUCAGUCGUGAGGAAGGURGUGUAGUUAAUAGCUGCAUUAUUUGACGUUAGCGACAGAAGAAGCACCGGCUAACUCCGUGCCAGCAGCCGCGGUAAUACGGAGGGUGCGAGCGUUAAUCGGAAUUACUGGGCGUAAAGCGCAUGCAGGUGGUUUGUUAAGUCAGAUGUGAAAGCCCGGGGCUCAACCUCGGAAUAGCAUUUGAAACUGGCAGACUAGAGUACUGUAGAGGGGGGUAGAAUUUCAGGUGUAGCGGUGAAAUGCGUAGAGAUCUGAAGGAAUACCGGUGGCGAAGGCGGCCCCCUGGACAGAUACUGACACUCAGAUGCGAAAGCGUGGGGAGCAAACAGGAUUAGAUACCCUGGUAGUCCACGCCGUAAACGAUGUCUACUUGGAGGUUGUGGCCUUGAGCCGUGGCUUUCGGAGCUAACGCGUUAAGUAGACCGCCUGGGGAGUACGGUCGCAAGAUUAAAACUAAG